UGUCUUAUACGCCAGAAAAUAUGGUACUAAAAUUGGAACAAAGAGAGAAGAUUAGCAUGGGCCCUGGCCAAGGAUUACACACAAAUUUGUGAAGCAUUUCAUAUUAAA